rnacentral:rRNA from 1 species
UACGAAGGGGGGCUAGCGUUGCUCGGAAUCACUGGGCGUAAAGGGUGCGUAGGCGGGUCUUUUAAGUCAGGGGUGAAAUCCUGGAGCUCAACUCCAGAACUGCCUUUGAUACUGAAGAUCUUGAGUUCGGGAGAGGUGAGUGGAACUGCGAGUGUAGAGGUGAAAUUCGUAGAUAUUCGCAAGAACACCAGUGGCGAAGGCGGCUCACUGGCCCGAUACUGACGCUGAGGCACGAAAGCGAUGGGGAGCAAAACGGG